UAAUUUAUCUGAGAUGAAUUCUUAUUUAGUAAUGAGAAACACAUAUUUAACUAUUCAAAAUCAUUCGUACAUCAAGCUAUUUGACUCAACAUCACUAAUUUAGGGCUUGUGU
rnacentral:pre_miRNA from 1 species